rnacentral:rRNA from 1 species
GAUGAACGCUGGCGGCGUGCCUAAUACAUGCAAGUCGAGCGAACGGACGAGAAGCUUGCUUCUCUGAUGUUAGCGGCGGACAGGUGAGUAACACGUGGAUAACCUACCUAUAAGACUGGGAUAACUUCGGGAAACCGGAGCUAAUACCGGAUAAUAUUUUGAACCGCAUGGUUCAAAAGUGAAAGACGGUCUUGCUGUCACUUAUAGAUGGAUCCGCGCUGCAUUAGCCAGUUGGUAAGGUAACGGCUUACCAAGGCAACGAGGCAUAGCCGACCUGAGAGGGGGAGCGGCAACGCUGGAGCGGAGACACAGUCCGGGAAAGAGAGGGAGGCGAGAGUAGGGAAUCGUGCACAAGGGGCGAAAACCUGACGAAGGAAGGCAGCGUGAGUAAGGAAGGUCUUCGGAUCGUUAACCGCUUUUAGGAUGAAAAAACAUAUGUGAAAUGAACAGGCGAGAGCGUGGGGGAAGCUAAUCGGAAAACCGCGUCAAACCACG